AUGAACGCUGGCGGCGUGCCUAAUACAUGCAAGUCGAGCGAACAGAUGAGGAGCUUGCUCCUCUGACGUUAGCGGCGGACGGGUGAGUAACACGUGGAUAACCUACCUAUAAGACUGGGAUAACUUCGGAAACCCGGAGCUAAUACCGGAAAUUAUAUUAACCCGCAUGGUUCAUUGGUAAAAGCGGGUUUUCUUUCCACUUUUGAUGGAUUCCGCGCCGCAUUAGCUAGUUGGUAAGGUAACGGCUUACCAAGGCAACGAUGCGUAGCCGACCUGAGAGGGUGAUCGGCCACACUGGAACUGAGACACGGUCCAGACUCCUACGGGAGGCAGCAGUAGGGAAUCUUCCGCAAUGGGCGAAAGCCUGACGGAGCAACGCCGCGUGAGUGAUGAAGGUCUUCGGAUCGUAAAACUCUGUUAUUAGGGAAGAACAAAUGUGUAAGUAACUAUGCACGUCUUGACGGUACCUAAUCAGAAAGCCACGGCUAACUACGUG
rnacentral:rRNA from 1 species